rnacentral:rRNA from 1 species
AGUGAACGCUGGCGGUAGGCCUGACACAUGCAAGUCGAACGGCAGCGCAGUAAGAGCUUGCUCUUACGGGUGGCGAGUGGCGGACGGGUGAGGAAUACAUCGGAAUCUACUUUUUCGUGGGGGAUAACGUAGGGAAACUUACGCUAAUACCGCAUACGACCUACGGGUGAAAGCAGGGGAUCUUCGGACCUUGCGCGAUUGAAUGAGCCGAUGUCGGAUUAGCUAGUUGGCGGGGUAAAGGCCCACCAAGGCGACGAUCCGUAGCUGGUCUGAGAGGAUGAUCAGCCACACUGGAACUGAGACACGGUCCAGACUCCUACGGGAGGCAGCAGUGGGGAAUAUUGGACAAUGGGCGCAAGCCUGAUCCAGCCAUACCGCGUGGGUGAAGAAGGCCUUCGGGUUGUAAAGCCCUUUUGUUGGGAAAGAAAAGCAGCAGGUUAAUACCCCGCUGUUCUGACGGUACCCAAAGAAUAAGCACCGGCUAACUUCGUG